AGUCCACGGUAACAUCCGAGGCCAUCAUUUCUUCCAGCAUAUUGACUGGGUCUCGGUGGAAGCCCUUAGGAUGACUCCACCACACAUCCCUGUACCAUCUACACCUCAAAACUGUGCCAGUUGUUUCAACCUGGACAGAAUGGAGGCAGCAGAGGCCAAAAAGCGACGUCUACCACUGAAACAUCAGGCCAUUUUCAGAGGGUUUUCAUUUGACACCUUGUAAACCCUCCACCAGCUCUAAUGUCACCAGAGCAAGAUGUCCUCCUGGACUCCUGGAGAAGAUCAACGGAUGGAAAGAAGAACGGACACAGGCCACAGUAUAAAGACCAAUAUCAAAAUGGAUGCUUGACAGUGAAGACAACGAACACCGAUGGAUGCGUUAAAACUUGCACAGUUGGCCGUAAGUAUGAGCGCAAGAACAUCUGCGCUCAUUUCUAAUCGUAGGUAUUUGUAAUUCACCGGCAACUGAUCUUCUCAAAUUCAUGAUAGCGCCAUCUUGUGAUGCUGUCUUGGGUUGGAGAAAAUCAAGACAACCCGGCUAUUAAGGGGUGGAGGAGGCCGGAUUUUAUUUUUUUAACCACAUGCCUACGAUUAUUUCACAUUUGACCCACUAUAUACAGAGUUAUACUCUGUAUAUAGUCAUUUUUUUUAAGUUACCGGUAAUAAGAUUUCCUCUUGUCCAUGACAGCAUUGUCCUAGGUGAGGGGAAAUAGGCGCGGAAUGGCCGGCUAUUAAGGGGUGGAGGAGGCCGGAUCUUUUUUUUUUUUUUCAGACUAACACCUGUCAACAGAGGACACCAUUGAACUCAGCAAGUUGAAAGCAGAAGACCAGAACAUCAAUAACUCCUCCAGAGAGAUCCUGCCAACCGCUUAGGAGUCCACGGUAACAUCCGAGGCCAUCAUUUCUUCCAGCAUAUUGACUGGGUCUCGGUGGAAGCCCUUAGGAUGACUCCACCACACAUCCCUGUACCAUCUAUACCUCAAAACUGUGCCAGUUGUUUCAACCUGGACAGAAUGGAGGCAGCAGAGGCCAAAAAGCGAGGUCUACCACUGAAACAUCAGGCCAUUUUCAGAGGGUUUUCAUUUGUCACCUAGUAAACCCUCCACCAGCUCUAAUGUCACCAGAGCAAGAUGUCCUCCUGGACUCCUGGAGAAGAUCGGAAAGAAGAACGGACACAGCAUACAGUCUAUGUAUAUCAUACCAGAUCAUAUGGACUUUGUACUGAUUUAUUAUGUGAUAAAGGCUACAGUAUAAAGACCAAUAUCAAGAUGGAUGCUUGACAGUGAAGACAACGAACACCGAUGGAUGCCUUGAAACCUGCACAGCUGGCCGUAAGUAUGAGAGCAAGAACAUCUGUGCUCAUUUCAAAUUGUAGGUAUUUGUAAUUCACCGGCAACUGAGCUUCUCAAAUUCAUGAUAGCGCCACCUUGUGAUGCUGUCUUGGGUUGGAGAAAAUCAAGACAACCCGGCUACUAAGGGGUGGAGGAGGCCGGAUUUUUAUUUUUAUUUUUUUAACCACGUGCCUACGACUUUUUUACAUUUGACCCACUAUAUACAGAGUUAUACUCUGUUUAUAGUCUUUUUUUUUUUAAGUUACCGGUAAUAAGAUUUCCUCUUGUCCAUGACAGCAUUGUCCUAGGUGAGGGGAAAUAGGCGCGGAAUGGCCGGCUAUUAAGGGGUGGAGGAGGCCGGAUCUUUUUUUUGUUUUUCAGACUAACACCUGUCAACAGAGGACACCAAUGAACCCAGCAAGUGGAAAGCAGAAGACCAGAGCAUCCAUAAACUAACACCUGUCAACAAAGGACACCAAUGAACCCAGCAAGUAGAAAGCAGAAGACCAGAACAUCCAUAAGUAAGUAUAUGCAACAUAAUAUCUUUUCUCCUUUCUUUUCACAGGCUUGUUGAAUUCACCGGUAAUCGAUCUCCUCAAAUUCACGACAGCGUCACAUUGUGAUGCUAUCUUGGAUUGGAGAAAGUCGAGAAUGGCCCGCUAUUAAAGGGUGGAGGUGGUUGGAAUUUUUUAACCACAUGCCUGUGAUCAUUUUAAAUAUGACCCACUAUAUACAGAGUUAUACUUUGUAUAUAGUCAUUUUUUUUAAAGUUACCGGUAAUGAGAUUUCCUCUUGCCCAUGACAGCAUUGUCCUAGGUGAGGGGAAAUAGGUGCGGAAUGGCCGGCUAUUAAGGGGUGGAGGAGGCCGGAUCUUUUUUUUUUUUUUUCAGACUAACACCUGUCAACAGAGGACACCAAUGAACCCAGCAAGUAGAAACCAGAAGACCAGCACAUCCAUAAGUAAGUAUAAGCAACAUAAUAUAUUUUCUCCUUUCUAAUCACAGGCAUGUUGAAUUCACUGAUAACUGACCUCAAAUUCAUGACAGUGACACCUUGUGAUGCUAUCUUGGAUUGGAGAAAGUCAAGAAUGGCCCGCUAUUAAAGGGUGGAGCUGUUUUUUUUUAUUUAUUUUUUUAACCACAUGCCUGAGACAAUUUUUAAUGUCACUCACUAUGUACAAAGUCAUACUCUGUACAUAGUAUUUUUUUAACAUUACCAGUAAUAAUAUUUAAUGUUGUCCAUGACAGUACUGUCCUAGGUGAGAGCAAAUAGGUGCAGAAAGGGGUGGAGGAGGUCAGAUCUAUUCCGAAUAAGACCUAAGAACACCUGCAACACCUAUGAUUGGCACUGGACUGAAGUAAAACAAGAUCUUCAAGAAUGAAUGCAUGCUUGACAAUGAAGACAAAAAAAAACCCACCAAUAACACCAGGUUAUGCAGCAGCUGAGGUAUUUAGUAUAAUUGCCACUACAUCUGGAAAUAGGAGACAAGGGGUGACAUUUAUCAAUGUUUCUACGCCACAAUUGUGCCAUAAUUUGCGACUUUUAGAGGUUCUUGUGAGAACAGAACGGCAAUGGCCCCCUGCUGGGGGUGAUCACAGAACGGCGAUGGCCCCCUGCUGGGGGUGAGCACAGAACGGAGAUGGCCCCCUGCUGGGGGUGAGCACAGAACGGCGAUGGCCCCCUGCUGGGGGUGAGCACAGAACGGCGAUGGCCCCCUGCUGGGGAUGAGCACAGAACGGCGAUGGCCCCCUGCUGGGGGUGAUCACAGAACGGCGAUGGCCCCCUGCUGGGGGUGAGCACAGAACGGCGAUGGCCCCCUGCUGGGGGUGAGCACAGAACGGCGAUGGCCCCCUGCUGGGGGUGAGCACAGAACGGCGAUAGCCCCCUGCUGGGGGUGAGCACAGAACGGCGAUGGCCCCCUGCUGGGGGUGAGCACAGAAUGGCGAUAGCCCCCUGCUGGGGGUGAGCACAGAACGGCGAUGGCCCCCUGCUGGGGGUGAGCACAGAAUGGCGAUGGCCCCCUGCUGGGGGUGAUCACAGAACGGCGAUGGCCCCCUGCUGGGGGUGAGCACAGAACGGCGAUGACCCCCUGCUGGGGGUGAGCACAGAAUGGCGAUGGCCCCCUGCUGGGGGUGAUCACAGAACGGCGAUGGCCCCCUGCUGGGGGUGAGCACAGAAUGGUGAUGGCUCCUUGCUUCACUACUGCAUUCUACUGCAUCUCUAUCCUGAGGAGGCUGAUACAGUCGAAAUGGGGAAAUCCUGCAGCCCUCCUGAGGUAGAGGUAGACGUCUGGGAUUGUCUCACCACUACAGGGACUUUUAGGAGGCUGGCUGCAGCAGUGUGCCACAUGGACAAAAACGUAUGGCAAAAUCGCAUGUUUUAUUUUUUACUUCAGUUUUGCAAUGCCAUUAUUGGCUGUACGACAUUUACAGGUCACUAUCUGCAUUGCAAAACUGUGGCACAGUAAAACUUAUUGUUUCGCCAUUUUUGCUGCCUUAGUGAUCAGUGCACAGCCACAGAGGCUGUACCCCUCUCAUCAUACAUUUUGUUACUAGUCUUAUAAAAAAUAGUGUCAGACUGGGGUGCCUAGGCCCCACCAGUAACAUUUAUUCUGGGGGCCCAAUGUACAGCUACAUGCAAUACCUGCUCACACAGCAUGACGUUACGAGAUGAUUGAUCAUAGGUGUCUCUGCACCGACUUCAUGAUGGCAGGUCCCUGGGGAAAGAAGAUGCUUGCUGGUUUGCCUUCUAUACCUAGAAGUAAUCUCAACCACCUAAUGCAUCUAUAAUAGAGUAUUUUAUGUGAGCAUAUGCUGGUUGAGGCGCUGUAUGCUGCCCCCAGUCUACUCUAUUAUGUGCCCCUUGUGCAGGGGGUGGGGGGUUAGGGGCCCACCUUGCUCAGGGGCCCACCGGGGUAUUCACCUGUUCCCCUGUGGGCCAGUCCGAGCCUGCUUCUAAACAUAAGUGAUAUUUCCCAAAAACUAUAACAUAAAAUAUAUAUCUUCUAGAAUCCACCUUAUGUUCAGGCAGAAGAACAAUCUACAUGAAGGGUUGAUCUGUCUAAUCACGUAGUGGUAAAAACCGGCAGAAACACUAAGGCUGGGGCUACACAAUGACAUUUGCUGCGCAACGAUUUGUCGCAGUAACAUUGCGCGACAAAUUUUAUAAUGUUAGUUUAUGGUGUCGCAGCAUGUCGUGGUGCAACACAAUAGGCCAGGGUUAUAAAAUAUGUUAAGCGACAUUGGUGCAACAUGAAUGUCGCGCGACAUAUUUAACAGUGUAGUUGUACCUUAUAUGUCGCACAACACCUCGCUGUGUAGCCCUAGCCUAAGGCCUCAUGCACACGGCCGUUGUUUUGGUCUGCAUCCGAGCCGCAGUUUUGGCGGCACGGAUGCGGAC